CCUACGGGAGGCAGCAGUGGGGAAUAUUGCACAAUGGGCGAAACCCUGAUGCAGCGACGCCGCGUGAGUGAGGACGUCUUUCGGUAUGUUAAGCUCUAUCAGCAGGGGAGAAAAUGACGGUACCUGACUAAGAAUCCCCGGCUAACUACGUUCCAGCAGCCGCGGUAAUACGUAGGGGGCAAGCGUUAUCCGGAUUUACUGGGUGUAAAGGGAGCGUAGACGGCUAAUCAAGUCAGAAGUGAAAACUUAGGGCUCAACUUUGGAAUUGCUUUUGAAACUGAGUAGCUAGAGUGCAGGAGAGGUAAGCGGAAUGCGUGGUGUAGCGGUGAAAUGCGUAGAUAUUAGGAAGAACACCAGUGGCGAAGGCGGCUUACUGGACUGUAACUGACGUUGAGGCUCGAAAGCGUGGGGAGCAAACAGGAUUAGAUACCCGAGUAGUC
rnacentral:rRNA from 1 species